rnacentral:rRNA from 1 species
UGUAAGCGUAUACCAAAGUUGUUGCAGUUAAAACGCUCGUAGUCGGACUUUGGCAGUUCCGGAUGUGUGCACGUCGUGUGCGCACUUCGCGGGGAUUGCUUUUGUGGUCUUGCGUAGGAUGAGGCACUUUUAUUAGUGAACGUCCUCACGCAACCACUUUUUACUGUGAGAAAAUCAGAGUGCUCAAAGCAGGCAUCUGCCGUGAAUGUAUUAGCAUGGAAUAAUAGAAUAGGACUUGGUUCUAUUUUGUUGGUUUGUUGGGACUGAGUAAUGAUUAAGAGGGACAGUUGGGGGCAUUUGUAUUUCGGUGCUAGAGGUGAAAUUCUUAGAUUACCGAAAGACAAACUGCUGCGAAAGCGUCUGCCAAGGAUGUUUUCAUUGA